rnacentral:rRNA from 1 species
GACGUAGGGCGCGAGCGUUGUCCGGAUUUAUUGGGCGUAAAGAGCUCGUAGGCGGCUUGUCGCGUCGACUGUGAAAUCCCCCGGCUCAACCGGGGAACUGCGUCCGAUACUGGUGGGCUCGAAUCCGGGAGAGGGAUGUGGAAUUCCCGGUGUAGCGGUGAAAUGCGCAGAUAUCGGGAGGAACACCGGUGGCGAAGGCGGUCUCUGGGCCGUUACCUGACGCUGAGGAGCGAAAGCGUGGGGAGCGAACAGG